UACAGAGGGUGCGAGCGUUAAUCGGAAUUACUGGGCGUAAAGCGCGCGUAGGCGGCCUUGCAAGUCGGGUGUGAAAUCCCCAGGCUUAACCUGGGAACUGCAUUCGAGACUGCAUUGCUAGAGUAUGGGAGAGGGAAGUGGAAUUUCCGGUGUAGCGGUGAAAUGCGUAGAUAUUGGGAAGAACACCGGUGGCGAAGGCGGCUAUCUGGCACGUAAUUGACGCUGAGGCGCGAAAGCGUGGGGAGCAAACAGG
rnacentral:rRNA from 1 species